rnacentral:pre_miRNA from 1 species
AUUGGAAUAGCUGGGUCAAAUGGUGGUUCCAUUUCAAGCUUUUUAAGGAAUCUCCAUACUGCUUUCCAGAGUGGUUGCACCAAUUUGCAGUGCCAUCAGCAAU